GGGAGGAAGGCAGUAUUUGAUCAGGGAGUCAAAAGCAGACGUGAAAAGCAAGGGUAUAAAUUCUCUGUGUAGGGAACAGAGGGAGCUGAGAGAUGGAGUGGCUUGCAUAGGAUCAGGAGCAGCAGCAAGUGAUUGGUUUAGCUGGAACAGGGAAGGUCAGCGUUGGAAGAAAUACUGAAGGCAGGAGAACUUUGCAAGUUGUGUUAAGGACAGUGGACUCUAGCCUCAAAGGAGAUAGCAAUGGUGGUGGUGGGAACUGGAUCAGAAAGGGGGCAGAGACUGGGGCCAGGGACCAGAUGGGAGGACAUUAUAACCAUCCAGGUGGAUGGCAGCGAAAUCCAGGAAGUGACACAGUGAAUGGAGAAGUGUAGGACAAACAUGGAGAAACUAAAUGGAUAGAACCACAGGCAUGAUGGAGUGGAAAAAAGAGCCAGAACCAGGUGUUAUAGGGGUUGAGGGGGAGCAUGGAGAGGGAAAUAUGCUUCUCCCUAGCAUUCCCAGCUGCACUGCAGACCAGCUACAAGCCGUGCACGAGCCCUUACUUCCUAUGUGCCUCAGUUCCCUCAUCUGAAAUGAAAGCGGUCAACGAGAUCAGUGGCUCCUGAACCAUUCUAUGGAGAUCUAGGUUUCCAAGGAAGUUUUGGUGGUGAGGAAGGGUCUGGGGAGAGGGGGCAUAGGGAUGAAGAUACACAAUGGGCUGGGAUUGGAUGGGAUGUUGGGAAUCUGGUGCUCUGGAUCCAAAACCUAUUUAAGCAGAACAUCUAGAAAUAAAAUUCUUUGUAAGAUUGAAUUUGAUUUUCUAAAAAGACUGAUAAAUACUGGGCUGUAGAGACAACCUCUCAAGUGUCCUUGAGCUCACUCGCUUCAGCCGUAACACAGACAGUUAUCCGAGAAACCUGCUAAUGUAAUGGCUCUCCAUUGAGUUCUUCUGUUUAUUUGAUUAACUGUUGCAUAAACGCUGGAAUGACUGGAACAACAAUUGUCACUCUGACUCCAAGCCAGAACUCUCAAGAAUGGAAAGCCCUUGCUGAAAGGCCAUUUGGUGUUCUUACUCUCGCGCGGUACCUUUUCCCAAGACCCAGUACGUUUUUCAGACCUCAUAAACACCAGUGUGAAGGCGGCGCUGGCCCAGGAGCGCAGAGACAUGGCUUUCCCACAAGUGGCUGUCUGGUUUGGGGAGACCCAGCUCAGGUCACAGGAGAGUGUGCAUCUGCCAUGGGCAUUCCUGGAAGAAAUGGAGACCUCUGGUGCCACUUACACUUCAAAAUCCAUGGAAGAAACUCACUGUGCCUGCCCAUUUCCUCCCUGGAGUUCUAUAGAUCUGCACUGCAUUGGAAGGCAGUAGCUCAAGGAUGUGAGAUCUGGAUUCAAACCAAGAGUCAAAAGCAGGGCCUUUGUCACAAUCGGCUUGCAGUGACAGCUUGUGUGCUCUCUGACAAGAAAGCUGCUCUAACAGCUGAAUCUAGGUCUCUUCACAUUCUUGCUGGAAAACCUGUUUUUAAAAAAAUGUAGGAUAAGGACACAACCAAAGAAGCCACAGCAGUAGCUUUUUGCUUCUGAUAAAACCCACACAGAAAAUGGAAAAAUACUUAUAAUUAAAGACUUUGACUUGACAGUUUGUCAAAUUAAAAUAUGUGGCAGCCACCUGCUGAGGAUCUUGAAAAAAAAAAAAAAAGAUGCCCCCUUGUGCUCUAUACAUGACCUAAAAUCUUCUUGGAGUGCAUUUGCAUUUUCCCAGUCUUCCAGUCAAACAAAAGCUGUCCACACGAAGUAUAAAGAUGACUAAGCAACUCUGAAUUCAGUAAUCAAAGAGGGUCCUGGCAAUUUCAGAAUAAUUAAGUUUCUCUAGCCUAAUAUAAACAUUUCCAAGAACUACAUGUGGCCUACCAAAGUAUAUAUUACAAGUAGUCAACCCUGUGGCCAGCUGGCAGACAGAUCAACCUAUUCAAGUAGAGUUGUUCGGAAUUUGGAAUAUUAUUUGGCUUUUCCCCCAAUAUUUUUUCUGCAUCCAACCUUGUUUCUUUGGGAAUGUUUUCAAAUAUACAAAGCAAAAAACUAUUGUGGAAUUAUACCUCCUGUGAACCAAUAAGCAUUUCUCUUGGGAUCCUUUGGAACUUGAAAAUCAUUGCUGUCUACAUAGGCAGACAAAGCCAAAUAGAGCAAAUGAAUCCUCACUGUUACCACUCAAAUUGAAGAGUUCAGUUUUUGUGUGGCCACCAGAAGAGUGUGUAAUGACCAUCAGACAAGUGAAUGUGGACAUCAAGCCAUAUGCCCAACACACACCAAAACAUCUUAGUGACACCUUUUUCCAGGUAGACUGAUGGGCCAGAAUUUCUUUGGAGUGCGGCUAAAGUUAUAGAUCCACUUCCACUGGACUAAGUUAACUAGUUGAGAGAUUUAAAAAAAAUGAAAAUUUUAAUGAAACACACAUUGCAAAGUAUUUAUGAAGUAGCCACCUUUUGCAGUGUGGCAUAUAAGUUGUGAAUUCAGGUACUGUGCCCUCGCAGUGAUUAUAGUCUGAUGGUGAAGACAGGCAAUAAGCAAAUAAAAUACAAACUGGGAUAAAGGUUCACAAAGAAAGAUACCGCAAUGAGAGAGAAUUAUAGGAAUGAUCAGAUGGUUUCUUUUGGAUUUGAAUAAGAUAUAGAU
rnacentral:lncRNA from 1 species